rnacentral:snRNA from 1 species
UCGCUUUGGCAGCGCAUAUACUAAAAUUGGAAAAAUACAAAGAAGAUUAGCAUGGCCCCUAUGCAAGGAUGACAUGCAAAUUCAUGAAGAGUUCCAUAAAACA